rnacentral:piRNA from 1 species
UUGCAGAUACUUCAGCCACUCCAUCACCUGC